rnacentral:rRNA from 1 species
AGGUAUUAUAAAUUUAAAUAAAAACCUAUAUUAAUUGGCGGCAUUUCAUCUAAUUAGAGGAACUUGUUUUUUAAUCGAUAAUCCUCGCUAUUUUUAACUUAAAUUAAAAAUCUAUAUACCGCCGUCUUAAAAUUUUAUAUAAAUAUUACAAAUUAAAAAAAAAAUUAAUAAGUCAGGUCAAGGUGUAAUAAAUAUUUAAGUAAAAAUGAGUUACUUAUUAAAUAAAUUAAAGGAUUUUUUAUAAAAAUAAAAAUGAAAUAGGAUUUAAUAUUAAUUUUAUAAUAAUAAUAUAAAAUGAAUAAGAUAAUACAUGUGC